UACUCUGGUGGCCUAAGUGGUUAGAGCAUCCGCCUUGGAUGUGGGAGGUUGCGGGUUUGAACCCAGGCUGAGUGA